rnacentral:rRNA from 1 species
GACGAACGCUGGCGGCGUGCUUAACACAUGCAAGUCGAACGGAAAGGCCCUGCUUGCCGGGUACUCGAGUGGCGAACGGGUGAGUAACACGUGGGUGAUCUGCCCUGCACUUCGGGAUAAGCCUGGGAAACUGGGUCUAAUACCGGAUAGGAGCCAUUUUUAGUGUGAUGGUUGGAAAGUUUUUUCGGUGUAGGAUGAGCUCGCGGCCUAUCAGCUUGUUGGUGGGGUAAUGGCCUACCAAGGCGGCGACGGGUAGCCGGCCUGAGAGGGUGGACGGCCACAUUGGGACUGAGAUACGGCCCAGACUCCUACGGGAGGCAGCAGUGGGGAAUAUUGCACAAUGGGCGCAAGCCUGAUGCAGCGACGCCGCGUGGGGGAUGACGGCCUUCGGGUUGUAAACUCCUUUCGCUAGGGACGAAGUUUUUUGUGACGGUACCUAGAUAAGAAGCACCGGCUAACUACGUG